CGAGAAGUGGCGCAGAUUGGCAGCGCGCUUGCUUUGGGAGCAAGAGGUCACAGGUUCGAGCCCUGUCUUCUCGA
rnacentral:tRNA from 1 species